AGCUUUAACAAUUCAUAGUGAUUUAAAAUGUAUUUAAAUAAAGUAGGAAUUAUACUAUUAUGAACUCUUUCUGGAAAUAUCAACUAAUACGAAACUCGAUUAAGAAUUAUAGUAAAAUGGAGAGAUUAAUGUGCGAUUGCCCAAGGGAUAUCCCUAAAGUUCCCAAAAUAAAAUUUAAUGAUGGCCAUGAAAUACCUAUAAUUGGCCUUGGAACUUGGAAUAGCCCCAAGGGUCAGGUUACUGAGGCUGUGAAAGUCGCCAUCGAUGCUGGCUACAGGCACAUUGACUGUGCUCAUGUCUACCAGAAUGAAGAUGAGGUUGGAGAGGGUGUUGAGGCCAAGAUCAAGGAGGGCGUGGUCAAGCGCGAGGAUCUCUUCAUCACCAGCAAGGUGUGGAACACAUUCCAUAGCCCCAAUCUGGUCAGGCCCGCUGUGGAGAAAACCCUGAGCGCUCUGAAGCUCAAGUAUCUCGAUCUUUACCUGAUCCACUGGCCCAUGGGCUUCAAGGAAGGUGGCGAGUUGUUCCCCGUCGAUAAGGAUGGCAAGACUGCCUAUUCGGACGUUGAUUAUGUGGACACCUGGAAGGCCAUGGAGAAGCUGGUGGAAGAUGGUCUGGUCAAGUCCAUUGGAGUGUCUAACUUCAACAAGAAUCAGAUUGAGCGCAUUCUGGCUGUGGCCAAGAUCGUGCCAGCCACCAACCAGGUCGAGUGCCAUCCGUAUCUGCCGCAGAAGAAACUGAUGGACUACUGCAGGUCCAAGGGUAUUACGAUCACUGCCUACAGUCCUUUGGGCUCGCCCAACCGCCCCUGGGCCAAGGCUGGUGAUCCGGUCAUCCUGGAGGAACCUAAGAUCAAGGAACUGGCAGCCAAGAAGAACAAGACCCCGGGACAGAUUCUUAUCCGUUACCAAAUCCAGCGCGGCAAUAUUGUGAUUCCCAAGUCUGUGACCAAGGAUCGCAUUGAGUCCAAUUUUGAGGUCUUUGACUUUGUGUUGACACCCGCGGAGGUCGAGAUCAUUGAGAGCUUCGAGUGCAACGGUCGCCUGGUUGCCUUGGUGGACAUUGGUACCCAUAAGCACUAUCCAUUUCACGAAGAGUUUUAAGCCUCAAGAAAUCGAUAUUUGCCAGGCAAAUAAUUUCAAAGAAUUCUUAUAAAUGAGAAAACCCAAGAAAUCCAAAACCAUUGAAAGGCAAACAAUUAUCAGCAAGUGAAGCCGAUCUUUAUAAACAACCACCAGCGUCAUCCCCACCAUCCCUUUGCAAGGGACGAAUACUAAAUGUCAACCCGGUGCACAAUUUUAAUGUAUAAUUUCUUACACAAAUAACCUUAAAUCGUAUGCAUAAAAAAUAAUAUAUAUAAAACUAA